AGAGAGAGAGAGUGAGCACACAAGCAGGGGGAGCAGGAGAAGGAGGAGCAGGAUCGUUGCUGAGCACAGACCCCAAUAGGGAGCUCAAGACCAAGACCCUGGGAUCCUGUCCUCAACUGAAAGCCGACACCCAACAGAAUGACUACCCAGAUCCCUCAUGCCAGAAGAUCAACAAAG
rnacentral:lncRNA from 1 species